rnacentral:rRNA from 1 species
GAUCUGGCUCAGGAUGAACGCUAGCGAUAGGCCUAACACAUGCAAGUCGAGGGGCAGCACAUGAGUAGCAAUACGAUGGUGGCGACCGGCGCACGGGUGAGUAACACGUAUGCAACCUACCUUUAACAGGGGAAUAACCCGUUGAAAAACGGACUAAUACUCCAUGACACAGGGGUCCCGCAUGGGAAUAUUUGUUAAAAGAUUUAUCGGUUGAAGAUGGGCAUGCGUUCCAUUAGCUUGUUGGUGAGGUAACGGCUCACCAAGGCUACGAUGGAUAGGGGAACUGAGAGGUUUAUCCCCCACACUGGAACUGAGACACGGUCCAGACUCCUACGGGAGGCAGCAGUGAGGAAUAUUGGUCAAUGGAGGCAACUCUGAACCAGCCAAGUCGCGUGAAGGAUGAAGGUCUUAUGGAUUGUAAACUUCUUUUGCAAGGGAAUAAAGUGGGGGACGUGUCCUCCUUUGCAUGUACCUUGCGAAUAAGGAUCGGCUAACUCCGUGCCAGCCGCCGC